GAAUGACUCUCGGCAACGGAUAUCUAGGCUCUUGCAUCGAUGAAGAACGUAGCGAAAUGCGAUACUUGGUGUGAAUUGCAGAAUCCCGUGAACCAUCGAGUCUUUGAACGCAAGUUGCGCCCGANGCCAUUCGGUUGAGGGCACGUCUGCCUGGGCGUCACAUAU
rnacentral:rRNA from 1 species